rnacentral:rRNA from 1 species
AGCGAACGCUGGCGGCAGGCUUAACACAUGCAAGUCGAGCGGGCGUAGCAAUACGUCAGCGGCGGACGGGUGAGUAACGCGUGGGAACGUACCUUUGGUUCGGAACAACACAGGGAAACUUGUGCUAAUACCGGAUAAGCCCUUACGGGGAAAGAUUUAUCGCCGAAAGAUCGGCCCGCGUCUGAUUAGCUAGUUGGUGAGGUAACGGCUCACCAAGGCGACGAUCAGUAGCUGGUCUGAGAGGAUGAUCAGCCACAUUGGGACUGAGACACGGCCCAAACUCCUACGGGAGGCAGCAGUGGGGAAUAUUGGACAAAUGGGGCGCAAGCCUGAUCCAGCCAUGCCGCGUGAGUGAUGAAGGCCCUAGGGUUGUAAAGCUCUUUUGUGCGGGAAGAUAAUGACGGUACCGCAAGAAUAAGCCCCGGCUAACUUCGUGCCAGCAGCCGCGGUAAU